rnacentral:rRNA from 1 species
AGUGAACGCUGGCGGUAGGCCUAACACAUGCAAGUCGAACGGCAGCACAGUAAGAGCUUGCUCUUACGGGUGGCGAGUGGCGGACGGGUGCGGAAUACAUCGGAAUCUACUUUUUCGUGGGGGAUAACGUAGGGAAACUUACGCUAAUACCGCAUACGACCUACGGGUGAAAGCAGGGGAUCUUCGGACCUUGCGCGAUUGAAUGAGCCGAUGUCGGAUUAGCUAGUUGGCGGGGUAAAGGCCCACCAAGGCGACGAUCCGUAGCUGGUCUGAGAGGAUGAUCAGUCACACUGGAACUGAGACACGGUCCAGACUCCUACGGGAGGCAGCAGUGGGGAAUAUUGGACAAUGGGCGCAAGCCUGAUCCAGCCAUACCGCGUGGGUGAAGAAGGCCUUCGGGUUGUAAAGCCCUUUUGUUGGGAAAGAAAAGCAGCAGGUUAAUACCCCGCUGUUCUGACGGUACCCAAAGAAUAAGCACCGGCUAACUUCGUG